GAUGAACGCUGACAGAAUGCUUAACACAUGCAAGUCAACUUGAAUUUGGGUUUUUAACUUAGGUUUGGGUGGCGGACGGGUGAGUAACGCGUAAAGAACUUGCCUCACAGCUAGGGACAACAUUUGGAAACGAAUGCUAAUACCUAAUAUUAUGAUAAUAGGGCAUCCUAUAAUUAUGAAAGCUAUAAGCGCUGUGAGAGAGCUUUGCGUCCCAUUAGCUAGUUGGAGAGGUAACGGCUCACCAAGGCGAUGAUGGGUAGCCGGCCUGAGAGGGUGAUCGGCCACAAGGGGACUGAGACACGGCCCUUACUCCUACGGGAGGCAGCAGUGGGGAAUAUUGGACAAUGGACCAAGAGUCUGAUCCAGCAAUUCUGUGUGCACGAUGAAGUUUUUCGGAAUGUAAAGUGCUUUCAGUUGGGAAGAAAGAAAUGACAGUACCAACAGAAGAAGUGACGGCUAAAUACGUG
rnacentral:rRNA from 1 species